CACCGCCCGUCACACCAUGGGAGUGGGUUGCUCCAGAAGUAGCUAGUCUAACCCUCGGGAGGACGGUUACCACGGAGUGAUUCAUGACUGGGGUGAAGUCGUAACAAGGUAGCCGUAGGGGAACCUGCGGCUG
rnacentral:ncRNA from 1 species